rnacentral:misc_RNA from 1 species
AAUUAAUCCACCUCGUCCCUUGACCAACAGAUUCCUGGAUUUCAACUUGACUCAAAUCUAGCCACUCCAAAUCCACCCACAGAUGCCUCUCCCUCACCACCAUCACCAUUUCCCUCGUCCCUUCAUCUCCUUCCCCACCUCUCCCCACACCCAGAUUUUGGUUUUUCCCACAGGCAACUAACACACUAAGAAAAGUUGCGAUAAUUGGCUUAACGUCCAUCCUUCAAAAUAGAGUACAACCUGAUCAAACAACCCUACGUUCACAUACCCAGAUAUGGUAUUGAUAAAGAGACCACAUCUCUCACAAGCAUCUCAUCAAACACUUUGUUAACACCAUAAUAACAAACACUGUAAAAAUGAAGAAGCAAGUUUUGCACAUAGAUAUCAAUUA